UAUAUAUGAAUGAGGAGUUUUGGGUUACCACUUAGAAAGGAAAUGCCUCAUUCGUCAACUCCCUCUACCGGAGACUUGGGGGACUCCUACCAUAUGCUACUGCACCUUUAUACUUGGAAGUCUCACGACCACUCAGUGACUUAGAUUUUUCAAGUCUCCAAUCGAGAAGUUUUGCUCACUCGAGAAAUUAAGGGAGCACAACCUCAACAUAAAUGCUUCACUCUCAAAGCUUCAACAUACAAGCUUCAACAAAAGAAAAAAUUCAAAGAACUUAGUGAAGAAGACCUUGGUGUAUUUAACACAAUACGUUGAAAUGAAGCAAAACUUGUUUAUUGAUAUCUCCGAUAAGUUACAAAUAUGUACAUAGACAUGAAUCAAAAUAAACAAACAAGAGGGAGCCUUCAUAAAGGUUACUCAGGAAAAGUCUCAGCAGUGGGUAGAGACCCAUAAAGAGGAUGCACCGGAGGGUGAUUAUUCGUAACCUCAGUACUAGGCAGAACCCCAGAAGGAGGAGGCACC
rnacentral:lncRNA from 1 species